rnacentral:rRNA from 1 species
GACGAAGGGGCUAGCGUUGUUCGGAAUUACUGGGCGUAAAGGGCUCGUAGGCGGCCAACUAAGUCGGACGUGAAAUCCCUCAGCUUAACUGGGGAACUGCGUCUGAUACUGGAUGGCUUGGAUUCGGGAGAGGGAUGCGGAAUUCCAGGUGUAGCGGUGAAAUGCGUAGAUAUCUGGAGGAACACCGGUGGCGAAGGCGGCAUCCUGGACCGAUAUUGACGCUGAGGAGCGAAAGCCAGGGGAGCAACGGG